rnacentral:tRNA from 1 species
GGCCUGGUGGCUCAGUGGGUAAAGAAUCUGCCUGCAAUGCAGGAGACUGGGGUUCGAUUCCUGGGUCA